ensembl:lncRNA
AUAGCGCCAGGCGCAUGGCUCUUCGGGAGGCGCUGAGAUUCCGGGCCCGGCGGCCGCGGGGAGCGGGUGCCAGUUAGGAACGGGGUUUCUGAUCUCCUCGUUUGCGUUUUGGGGGUUCUUUUUGUUCAUAGCAGCAGGUGCAACUUUUUGUCUUUUCUUAAAAAAACAAAACAAAACAUUGAUUUUCAUUUUCUCGUGGACUCGAAAAAGCGAGCCGGCUUGGAGGAAGUCCGCCCAGCGAUCCGAGUGCGCAUUGAUCAGUGUCGAGAGAAAAAAAAGCUACAUAAAUAUAUAUUAUCCACGACGCCGCCAAGCUCUCCAGCGCCGGAGGAGGCCCCGAGGUUCGCUGCCCCAGGCCCGGAGUCCAGCCAGGACACCUCUCCCUGACGAUCCCGAGCCCAACCCUAACAGCAAGUACAGUUCUGAGAAUUGUGGAACUUCAUCCUUUCAGUUUAAGACACUCCUGCCUUUGCUUGAUGGAAUCUUGUGACACAUCAGCAGAGGCCAAUAACUUUGUUCAAAACCUCACUUCCAACAUUAUCCUGUGGCGCUGAUACUUACUCCCAGAAUCACACAACAGAAUGGAAUGUAUUUUCUGCCAUAAAAGGGGAGUUUAGGAGAGUGAUUCCUUCUUGAAGCCUCUUUUUCUCCUUGCCUCCCCCACCUGCCAAAGUGAAAUGAGGACCAGCGGAAGUAAUGAAACUGAGCUGAGGAGGGCUGGGGAAAGAAGGGCCUGCACAGAAGAGGGGACUGAGAGGCUUGCAAAGACUCCUUGCUUCGUGCUUUUCUGCGCAUCUGCCUCCUUCACCCUGGUUCCUCUUCACAUCCGGACCCUGGACCUGAAGCUAUGAAGAGCCUCUUCUUCCCUAAGGAAGGUUCCUGACUUUCCCCUCUCUCCCAUCUGAGGACGGCUUAUUUUGGAUCUGGGCUGUCUUCCCUUGCACAUUCUUCAACUUUUAGCUCCAGGGCAGGUGUGUGGUAAAACACCCCACCUCCCCCCAGCUUUCUGGGCCAGGAGCGGCUUCUGCCAAGGCAGGAUCUCUUAAAGACGCAGUGAGGAUCUCUUCGGCUCCCUCCUCUCAGCCACAGCUGAGAGAUAGGGUUACCAUGACACAGACAUGUGUCUCAGAACAUAAAGGGCCCCUGAGAAGACAGUAAAGAAC